rnacentral:rRNA from 1 species
UUGAAAGGGAAACGAUUGAAGUCAGUCGUACCUGUGGGUAAUCAGCCUUUUGGGUGUGAUUUUGUGGAGUGCGAGGAGUUAAACGCCUUCAUGCCUGCAUAUUCGUGCACUUUGGGUGUAUUUACCCGUGUGGUAAGUUAACAUCAAUUUCGGUGGUCAUAAAAUGGCUGGAGGAAUGUAGCUUCGAUCUUGUAUUGAAGUGUUAUAGCCUUCGGUAGAUGUGAUAAUCGGGAUUGAGGAUUGCAACGGAUACCCCUCGGGGCUACCUGUCUGAUCUCUGAUCGUUGCUCUGGUGCCGAAAGCUUGCUUACGGUUAUCAAAGUCGAUGGUCAAUAGGUUAGAACGGGUUAAAUUCGUUAAGGAUGUUGACGUA